rnacentral:misc_RNA from 1 species
AAGUCGUAACAAGGUAACCGUAGGUGAACCUGCGGUUGGAUCAUUAACAAAAUUGAAAGAACUUGCUCUCGAGCAUUUUCUCCAACAUUUAUGUGAACUUGUUUUACUGUCUCUUGGGUAGGUUAAGGGUUGAAAAACACUCCUACCCAACUUUUUAUUUGAACUUUUAUUUAUAAAAAUUAGUCUUGAAUUUUGAAUUAUCUUAAUUUAAAAACAACUUUUGACAACGGAUCUCUAGGCUCUC